rnacentral:lncRNA from 1 species
CUGACACGCUCUGGAGAUGGUUUCUCUUCCUAGUCCACUGCCCUGAGCGAGCAGCUCUCCCUGCUCUCACCUGGGCCUCGUGCUACAUGAGACCCCACACCUGACCGGGGCGCUGGCACUGUCCCCCUGGACAGUAUUUACACAGAAGCCCCCAGUCCACUCACAUCCGUGGUGUGAGGGGGAGGGCUUGGAGAGCUGCUCAGUGCUUCUCCAGUGACAAUCUGAGUGUUUCGGGGAUCUUCGGAAGAAAUAUUGGGGACACCACUGAUGAUGAGGAGCAAAGGUUUGCACACCUGGUCUGAUGAAGAGCGGUUUGUCUUGGCCCUGCUCCUGCUCCCUCAUGUUUCUGCCGCACCACCCCCGCACUGCAGCUUCCCUCGCAGAACCGCUCGUCUCGCUCAGGGCUCGCACCCGGGAUGUCCGGCCUCUCGCAGGCCUGGAGAGACGAGCACAGACCUACCACCAGUAGGUUCAGUAGUGCUGAAAGGGGUCGCCCGCUACCCUGCACCUGAAAAGAUACGAGUUUCUUCUCUGGGCCUUUUCUCAUAAGAGCUUCACAAAGUGGAACGCACACACACAAGGCGCGCUCUCAUCUUUCUGUGGUCGUUUGCUGAUGUCUGCGCGGACACACUACUCUUGCAGGGCCUGACUUGUUGCCACAGCCCAUAAGCCAGUCAAACACUAAGCUGUGGUUUAAGAGAAACCAGAAAAGAAUGAAAUUACUCUCAUGUGUGGUUGAUAAAUCAGCUGAGCCAAUCGAAAUAAGAGCGUGUUCUUAAAGAAUCAGAAUGUGCCCAACAGAAUCCCUGUGCUGCUGAUGAUUCAGAGAGAGGCUGGGAGUUCCCCUUCGCUGCAGUACAGCAGUCUGCCAGAUAUGAAAAAUACAAUCACUGAUAAAGAACAGAGCUCAGAUUCACACAAAUAAUGGAGAGAC